rnacentral:rRNA from 1 species
GAUGAACGCUGGCGGCGUGCCUAAUACAUGCAAGUCGAGCGAACGGACGAGAAGCUUGCUUCUCUGAUGUUAGCGGCGGACGGGUGAGUAACACGUGGAUAACCUACCUAUAAGACUGGGAUGACUUCGGGAAACCGGAGCUAAUACCGGAUAAUAUUUUGAACCGCAUGGUUCAAAAGUGAAAGACGGUCUUGCUGUCACUUAUAGAUGGAUCCGCGCUGCAUUAGCUAGUUGGUAAGGUAACGGCUUACCAAGGCAACGAUGCGUAGCCGACCUGAGAGGGUGAUCGGCCACACUGGAACUGAGACACGGUCCAGACUCCUACGGGAGGCAGCAGUAGGGAAUCUUCCGCAAUGGGCGAAAGCCUGACGGAGCAACGCCGCGUGAGUGAUGAAGGUCUUCGGAUCGUAAAACUCUGUUAUUAGGGAAGAACAUAUGUGUAAGUAACUGUGCACAUCUUGACGGUACCUAAUCAGAAAGCCACGGCUAACUACGUG